GACGAACGCUGGCGGCGUGCUUAACACAUGCCAGUCGAACGGAAAGGCCCUGCUUUUGUGGGGUGCUCGAGUGGCGAACGGGUGAGUAACACGUGAGUAACCUGCCCUUGACUUUGGGAUAACUUCAGGAAACUGGGGCUAAUACCGGAUAGGAGCUCCUGCUGCAUGGUGGGGGUUGGAAAGUUUCGGCGGUUGGGGAUGGACUCGCGGCUUAUCAGCUUGUUGGUGGGGUAGUGGCUUACCAAGGCUUUGACGGGUAGCCGGCCUGAGAGGGUGACCGGCCACAUUGGGACUGAGAUACGGCCCAGACUCCUACGGGAGGCAGCAGUGGGGAACAUUGCACAAUGGGCGGAAGCCUGAUGCAGCAACGCCGCGUGCGGGAUGACGGCCUUCGGGUUGUAAACCGCUUUCGCCUGUGACGAAGCGUGAGUGACGGUAAUGGGUAAAGAAGCACCGGCUAACUACGUG
rnacentral:rRNA from 1 species